ACUAGAGGCUCUAAAGAGCCUGUGUCGCUCACCUUGGUCUAUGUGAAUAUUAAACAAAGGAAGCCGAUGGGUUCAUGACAAAAUUGUGUUUUGGUGAUGGUGAUGUGUUUGUACAUCUUACUUUACUGAACAUUCUUGCUACUAUAAUGAACUUGACCCAGUAGUUUCAGUGGAAAAUGUUAGUUAAAAUUUACAAAUUUUAUGAAAAUUGUUAAAAAUUGACUAUAAAGGACAAUAACUCCUUAGGGGUCAAUUGACCAUUUCCGUCAUGUUGACUUAUUUGUAAAUCUUACUUUGCUUAACAUUAUUGAUGUUUACAGUUUAUCUCUAUCUAUAAUAAUAUUCAAGAUAAUAACCAAAAACAGCAAAAUUUCCUUAAAAUUACCAAUUCAGGGGCAGCAACCCAACAACAGGUUGUUAGAUUCAUCUGAAAAUUUCAGGGCAGAUAGAUCUUGACCUGAUAAACAAUUUUACACCAUGUCAGAUUUGCUCUAAAGGCUGCCGUUUCAGAGUUAUAAGCCAAAAUCUACAUUUCACCCCUAUGUUCUAUUUUUAGCCAUGGUGGCCAUCUUGGUUGGUUGGACACAAUUUUUAAACUAGAUACCCCAAUAAUGAUUGUGGCCAAGUUUGGUUAAAUUUGGCCAAGGAGUUUCAGAAGAGAAGAUUUUUGUAAAAGAUUACAAAAAUUUACGAAAAA
rnacentral:lncRNA from 1 species